ACUAAAAUUGGGACUUCCGUUGCUUUACAGCAUCGUUAUGUGGAAUUUUUCAAAAUUGUAAAAAAUGUGUUUCACGGGAAUUUACCACCAAAAAGAAAGCUUAAAAUUGAAAGAAUUGUAGUCGAUUCUCUUCACAAACCUUCCAAAAUACUACCAGAGCUGUGCUUUUUUUGUGCUUCCACACCUCAUUAGUACAGAAUAAUCGGCUUUACCUAACGUGUAAUGAACUGGAUAAUCUUCAUAAACCAAAAAUAUGUGGGUUUUAUCCCACUGAUUUUGCUGUAGAGAUCUACUUCGAAGAGUAGUUACAUAAACUAUUCUAUUUUGGCACACUAUCUGAGGCACCACACCACCAAUGUCUAAAUUCAUGAUACUUUAUAUUUCUGUAUAUAUUAAGAAAAAAAACCCACUAAAAAAAAAGA